rnacentral:lncRNA from 1 species
AUCUUUCUAAUGAUAUAAAAAAAUAUAAAUUUGAGUUACUAUAAGUAAGUUAUGAUAGGCUAAAGAUAAAAGGUAAAUAAUAGAAAAAGUAAAUAAAUAAUUUUUACCUCAAGCAUAACUUACUUAAGAGAUCAAGAGUUUUAGCCUCACCAAGGCUCAAAAGUAUUGUAUAUAUGUCUCUAAAAGAGGCCACAAGGCCUUAAUCGUAUCCUCCUAACUACCUUCAAAGUACUACAAUCCAUAUAGAACUUAUAUACCUUCUUUCUUACAAGGAUUAAAGUAGCUAUUAGUCCUCAUAUUUUCUACUAGUAAAAUUAAUAUUUUUACAUUUUUAACUCC